CAACUAUAGUCUGUGCUAACCCUAAUAUUGUUUUUGUAAAAAAAAUCAAAUAUGUUCAUCCCUUCUCUCCCUUAUUCGGCGACGAUGACGGUAGAACUUCCUCAACUGUCAUGAAACGGAUCUGUGAUUAAUCCCAUCAAUUGAGAGGUCGGGUAUAAAUAGAGGUUGUUUUUCGAUCUGAAGUCCGGCAAGUGUUCUCCUGCGAUUCUGGGAGGCCAGGAAUGUCAAGCGCUCAUGUGGCUUGAUAUGCUGAUGGUGGACGUUUUAUUAUUUAGAUGUAUCACUUGGAAAGAUAUUCUCUUCCCUGAAACAAAGAAUAUCACCAUUAUUUGUUUCCAGAGGCUGAUAAGAUCAAAGACUGAAACCAACGGUUAUCAACCACGCUGAUACAUUUAGAUCGGUUUCAGACAAUGAAACCAAACUUCAGGAAGAGAAAGUUUGAAAGUUGAUCCCAGCUGGAGUCUCCAGCGUUGUUGUCUCCUACAACGUUCAAAGGUUUUUUUAGUUUCACAAUCUCUCUCUCUUGCCUCUGACUAUAAGAAAGUGUUCUUCUUUAUGGAUUCAUGAACCGUAUGUAUAACAAUAUGAGCUAUAGUUUAGUGCAAGAUAUUCUCUUGAGAUGUUAAUUUGGUGUUUGUGAUCAGGUUUCAGGAGAGAUUGUUGGAUCCAAGAGAAGCAAGCAGGAUUAAGCUGAACUUAAUAUAGAAGUGUAAGUGGGAUAUUAUAUUGUUGAAGAUGAUUCUUAAAUGUAUCAGUGUGGUUGUCUCCAACCGAUCUUAAGCCAGUUGAUUGGUAGCCUUGAGGUGUGGUUAAUCAGGGUUCACAUUUAUAGAGUAUGUUGUUAUACGCCGGUAAAGAUUUGAUUCCCUUUUUGUGUUGCAAUGUCUCUUUUAGAAUAUCAAUACAUGUGUAUAUAUGUACUUCAGUUACCCAUAUGUCGAUUAGUUGACACACCAUUGCUGCCUUACUGGCUCUAAAAGCUUUGUUAUGAAGGUAAUCGGCACCUGAAGUACUUCUACAGUCCUAUGUAUACACAUUAAAAGUUGUGGCUCUGCUCUGGGAUCCAUGCAACAGACCGACUGAUGCAGAGGCUCUGUACGUUCCGUCCUUUCAGGUACACCAGAGAGUAUGUGCUUCAGACGCUAUGGCUGUUACCGUUCCUGUCUUGAUCAGUUGAUUUAACUUUUGUAUAUGAUGUUAAAUGUUGCUUUGCAAUCUUUGUAGCUGCAGAGGCUUUGUACGUUCCGUCCUUUCUUUUACUGGACAUAUUUUUUUUUAAAGAUAAUAUUAACAGUUUAUAUA